AUCAGGAUCUACACACGAGGAGCAGAGAGAGGAGUGUAGGAGUCAUACCUGUGAUGCACCGGUCUCGGACUCCGUCGUCAGGGCGAUCUUGGGCUCCGUCGUCGCGGCGAGAUCCGUUUGUCGGUCGGGGGCCUGCUGGGUUCAGCAGGAGCCCGACUUUUCUUCUACUUCUCCUUCUGGCCUGUGCCCUCGGUCAGACGUCGGUCGGAAGCUCCUUCGUCCGUGCGCAUGUAUUUGUACGCACGCUCCAGCAAUUCGGCAUAC
rnacentral:lncRNA from 1 species